GGACUACAGGGGUAUCUAAUCCUGUUUGAUCCCCGCGCUUUCGCGCCUCAGCGUCAGUUGUCGUCCAGAUAGCCGCCUUCGCCACCGGUGUUCCUGCUAAUAUCUACGAAUUUCACCUCUACAUUAGCAAUUCCGCUAUCCCCUCCGACACUCUAGCUUCACAGUUUCAAAGGCAAUUCUUGGGUUGAGCCCAAGGAUUUCACCCCUGACUUGAGAAGCCGCCUACGCGCGCUUUACGCCCAGUGAUUCCGAACAACGCUAGCACCCUUCGUAUUACCGCGGCGGCUGGCAC
rnacentral:rRNA from 1 species